UACGAGGGGUCCUAGCGUUGUUCGGAAUCACUGGGCGUAAAGCGCAUGUAGGUGGCUUGAUAAGUCAGGUGUGAAAGCCCCGGGCUCAACCCGGGAAGUGCAUUUGAUACUGUCGAGCUUGAAUAUGGGAGAGGGUAGUAGAAUUCCUGGUGUAGUGGUGAAAUACGUAGAUAUCAGGAGGAAUACCGGUGGCGAAGGCGGCUACCUGGCCCAAUAUUGACACUUAGAUGCGAAAGCGUGGGGAUCAAACAGG
rnacentral:rRNA from 1 species